ACAGUACGCGCCGGCACGACGUUUUCAGGUUUGAUUGAGCAGUGCGGCAUCAUCGUUUUUUUUCAUUUCUCCUCCCAAUCCCCCCUCCCUUUCUUUCGCCUUCAAGUAAAUGUGCCGUGCGUCUCUCAUAUAAUAUCCAUUCUAUCAAAACCCGCGUUUUAACUUUUCUCCCUACUUCUCUGUGCGAGAGCGGGGAAAGGAAACCGAAUUCGGGAUUGAUCGAUUGCUCCUUUCCUCUCCCCUUCUCCCCCCCUCCUCCAUGAGGCGGUUGGGUACAACCUAACUCGCUACCGCCUCCUGAACCCGCGCACCUCCCCCUUCUGAUUGGCCCGCGCCGCGGGGAGCUGGUCGGUGAUUGGAAAACAGUUCUGUCGAUCACACACUGGACGGGGUUUGGUCGCACGGUGCGGUGCGGCCUGGGUUUUGCUCCGGUUUGUUGUCAUGUUCGCUGGUGGAUUUCCACUAAGGGCUCUGACAUUCUGAUGGUGCAGCAGCGACCGGGCCGUUCACCUUAGGAAGAUGAUCAUAGAGAAUCUGGACGCUUUCAGAUCUUGGUUAUCAAGGGCCCUGGAUCCUAUCUGUGAUGCUGACCCAUCAGCUUUGGCUAAAUAUGUAGUGGCUUUAGUUAAGAAAGACAAGCCAGAAAAAGAACUGAAGGCCUUGUGUGUUGAUCAACUGGACGUAUUUCUGCAAAAAGAAACUGUUGGAUUUGUGGACAAACUUUUUGAUGCUUUAAGCACUAAGAACUACGUGCCACGACCAGAACAGCUUGUCCAGGCGACAAUAAAGCAGGACAUGCAACCUACAUGGCAAGAGAGAGAGGACAAGAAAGAAGUUCCUUUAUAUGAUGAAGAACAAGAUGGCAGAAAAUCUUUGCUAAAGAAAGGUCACAGUCCUUUCAAACCAGUCCUGGGGCCUAUAGAGACCAGAACUCGUGAUGAGAAAAAACGUGAAGAACGACGACGUAGGGACUUUGAAAGAUAUCCUCAUCCUCACCCUCACCCCAGAGAUCUUUAUCGAGAGCGGUAUGAUCGCCGUAGGGGCAGGAGCUAUAGCCAUAGUCCAACAAAGAGUGCAAGUCGAAGUCGCAGUCGCAGUCGAGACAGGACUCGAGAUCUUGGGCGCAGCAACAGCACAAGUAGAGAGCAACAUAAAGACAGAUCCAAGUUUGAGUUGGAAAGAAAUGAGGGCUCGGAGAACAUAUAUAUUCCAAGUUGCACGUCAUCGAACAGUUCAACUGAACAAUAUUUUUCUGGAGCACACGCUGCUCCUAGUGCAGUAACUGUGGUAGCUCCUGCCCACCAUCCUGACAACACUACAGAGAGCUGGUCUAAUUUCUAUAACAAUCACACGGGCACAAAUUCCUUUGGUAGAAAUGCAGCCCCAAAACGACGAUGCAGAGACUAUGAUGAGAAAGGCUUCUGCAUGCGUGGUGACCUCUGCCUUUUUGACCAUGGGAACGAUCCACUAAUAGUGGAAGAUGUGACUCUUCCUGGAAUGAUUCCUUUUCCGCCGCCACCUCCAGGCUUACCUCCCCCAGCUCAUCAGUUGCCUCCACCAGGGCAUCACUUACCUCCACCCUUACCAGGUCUCCCUCCUAAUUUGAGGUUACCCCCAUUACCGCCACCUGGACAGCCACCACCGCCUGGCAUCCAUCCUGUAUCUGGACCACAUCCAAUCCCAAAAAGUGGUGUAGACAGCAUUGAAGUUUCUGGGACCAGUACAGUACCUACCUUGCCACCUCCAGGAUUGAGGCCACCACCUUUACCUCAGUAUCCACCAUAUGUGACUUCAGAAUAUAACUAUGAGCCUGACGGCUAUAACCCUGAAGCUCCCAGUAUUACUGGCGGUGCCAGGCCUCCAUAUCGACACUACAUCCCACGAAUUCAGACUGAGCGCCCAAAUCUGAUUGGCUUAACGUCCAGCACCAUGGAUGGCCCGUCUCGAGUGCCUGUGAAGAUAAACCAAGCUGAGAUAGCUCUAGCUGCUACAACAAGCAACAAUGUUUCACGUGUAGUUAUUGAACCAGAAUCUAGAAAAAGGACUGUUGUAACUGUGGAUGGACCACCUUCAAAAAAACCAUGGAUGGAAAACAGGCAAAACUUCAAUCAUCAAAACAAGCAAGGAUUUCAGAAGAAGACUCAACACACCUAUGAUAACACAAAGCUAGAGGUCCGCAAAAUCCCAAGGGAAAUGAAUACCAUUACCCAGCUCAAUGAACAUUUCAGUAAAUUUGGUACUAUUGUCAAUAUUCAGGUUGCAUUUAGUGGUGAUCCUGAAGCAGCUCUUAUUCAGUACUCUCAGAAUGAGGAAGCAAAACGGGCUAUUUCCAGUACUGCAGCAGUACUGAACAACAGGUUUAUUAGAGUAUACUGGCACAGAGAGAACAAUGGAGUUCAGCAGCAAUCACAUCAGCAAGUACAGGCACAACAGUUAGCGGUGUCACAACAUAGCACUGUUCAUAAGAUAUUAAACCGAAACCAAAGCCCAGGAUCUUUUGUACUAACAAAUGCAACAGUAAAGCAACGACUUGGCUCCCUGGUUGGAAAUCCGUCUGAUGGAACACAAACCUGUUCUAGCCAGCUUGGGGCUGGCGGAGAAGCUUCACAGGGACCUCCUACCUCCACAAGCCUGGUAAAGCCAGGGUAUAGUACUGCAGUCACAAAGACAAAUCAUAAAUCUCCUGUUACAUCCAGUAAAGCACUUGAAGCAAAAGAAGCGCUCAAGAAAAAACAGGAAGCUUUAAAGUUACAGCAAGAUAUGCGGAAAAAGAAACAAGAGAUGUUAGAAAAACAAAUUGAGUGCCAGAAGGUAUUAAUUUGCAAACUGGAAAAAAAUAAAAGUAUGAAAGCAGAUGAAAGAGCUAAAAUAAUGAAAACCAUUAAAGACUUGACGGAAAGAAUAUCUCAAUUACGUGAUGAACUGAAAGCAACAUCAGCAUCAACGUCAUCGGCUCCAUCACAACUGAAAUCCAAAUCUGAUGCACAGAAGGAAUUACUGGAUGCAGAGCUGGAUUUCCACAAGAAGCUUAAUUCAGGGGAGGACACAACAGACUUGCGAAAAAAGCUGAAUCAGCUCCAAGUGGAGGCUGCAAGACUGGGCAUCCUCCCUGGAGGACGUGGUAAGACUAUGCAAACACGAGGCCGAGGUCGAGGCAGGAGUGUGAGGGGAAGAGGCGCACAGAUGCACAUGGUGGUUGAUCACAGGCCCAAAACUUUAACGGUAUUCGGCUUCACACAGGAGGAAAAAGAUGAAUUAAUGCCACAUUUCUCAAAGUUUGGAGAAGUGGAAGAUUUUCAAGAAGAUACUCCUUUAAAUGUUAGAGUUGCAUUCAAAUCAAGAAUUGAAGCAGAAAAUGCUGCCAAUCAGGGUGCAAAGUUCAAAGGCAGAAAUCUUCAGAUCUCCUGGUACAAACCAAAAGCACCUUCAGUAUCAACAGAACCGGAGGAGGAGGAUACAAAAGAAGAGGCAUCAGAACCUGUGGAUCCUUUCUUUCGUGAAGAUGACGAUGAUGAAGAUGAUGAUGAUGAAUCUCGCUCCUGGAGACGAUGAUGGGAUUUAGAACACUCACUCUAUCGUCAUGAACUUUUGUGCAUUUUUUUGUGUUUAAAUAUAUUUACUAAUUUUACAGAAACAUUUUUAUUGUAUUUAAAGAAAAAAAUGGGUUUGCAACAUUUUUGUGAAAAUGACAAAAAGCUUAGUAUUUUGCUUUCAAUGCUUUUAGGAUACAUACCCCAAAGGAGGAAAAUCACAGAAUGUGUCAGGAAAUAAAAUGGGAGAUAAGGAAUAACUAGAUGUACAUUCUGCUUGUAGCAGAGGUUCUUGUAUGAAUGUAUAUUAAAAUUGUGUAUAUACUUAGCCUUUUUUUGAUGAAAAGAAAGAGCAUUUAAGCUUGUAAGUAAAUUUUUGAUAGUCUUUGUUUCCUCCUUUCAAAAAAAGAUUAAGUCACCAGAAUACAUCUUGCAAGGAAAGUGAGCUUGUAGCAGGUAUUGAGUUCUACAUUUUAAAAGAAGCAACUGGUUGGAAAGGCAGUGGAGUGGUUGCUAUAUUAUUUGGGGAAUUCAAAGAACUUUCAUGUUUCUCCUCAGCAAUUUUGAUGGGCCAGAUAGUGACUUUUUGGUAAACAUAUGAAAAAAAAUGCUGUAGAACCAAGAGGACCACUGUUAACCGAUAGGAAAUUUAAUUUGAUUGAAUAUAGUAAUCCUUGAUGAGACAUAUAAAUGGUAAUUGUUUACAAAAGUUGAAUGCAUUUAAAGCUGCAGUGUCCAACUAAUCAAAAUUUCAAUACUAGACUAAAUUUAUUAAUUUACUAUUUAUUGAAACCAUUUUUUGUUUAAAAUUGCGAUUUAUAUGCAUAUUCAUUGCUUGAGUUUUCUAUGGUUCCCGUUGACUGUUAUUGAUCCAUUUUUUACAUUUAAUCCUCACUGCUGUCAUCUUAUGACAGUUGAAGUAUUAAAAUGCUAAUGAAUACAUCACGUUUGAUAUCCCACUGAUGUGCUGGUUAGGGGAGUGACAUUGUGCUUCGGUGGAUUCAUUUAUUCAGCCUCAGCUGUUCCCUCAAGUCAAGAUGUUAGUUUUGUUAAAAGAGCAAGAUUGCUCUUUAUAUUUCAGUCAAUUAGUAGAUCUGGAAAAAAAUAACUUGUAGCUGACAAUAUAGAUGCUACGAAUAGAAAUGUUUCAUAUACAGAACCAAUUUUCAUUGUCAAAGAAUCUCUUAAUAACCUAUCCCUAAUUGCUAUCCUCUGAUUCAGUCUGGCAAGUGUAGAUAUUUGGACAUCAAUUAAAGACAGGUUGAAGACUUCACCUAUCAAGUUCCAUGGCAAGUUUAAAAAAAAAGGAGUUAUUUCUUUCUUAUCAUAUCUGAGUAAGCAGUAAAUUUGAAUUGUUAUGAUUAUUUUUACAAGUAAAAUGGCUCAGUGUGCUCUUGUAAGUCUUUAUGUGGAGUACUUCAUCCACAAUAACAAUCUCCAUGCGGUUGCAUCCAGUAACUUCCAGUCAACAUGUAUAGUAAUAAAUUUCUUUCUUUUCUUGCUUUUAUAACCCGUUUGUUGCAAAAUUGGACUUGCAAAUAUUUGAGUAAAAUAUUGAAUUCUCAGAUCGUCAUGAAGUUAUACUUUCAUGUAUUUUUAUUUACUGUAAAACAUUGACUACUUCUUAUUUCACAAAGUCCAAUAGAAUCACAGAAUCAGACAAGUCAUCAAGUUUAUACAGGAUAUUUCAGAUACCCUAUUAAUAUGCCUAUUGAAGGCAACAAACUGGAGAUUAGAAAUAAAUCAUUAAACAGAAAUACAAAGUAUCAAUGUAAAACCCUUCAGGAUUUUAAUAUCCUUAAAUAAAUAUUCAUUUAAUGGGUGCAUAUUUAACUACAUUCUAGUCUUCGUUUUCAAUUUUAAGGAAAUGCAGCUUUAAAUGAAAUAUCAACAGAGCUUACUGCAAAUGUAAAAGGAACUAGUGAAAUACAGAUGUGGAAAACAUUAUAUUAAGUGUGGGGUAUUUGCAGUUACCGAAACCAAAUCUUAACUAUACCAUUUGUACCAUUGUCAUAAUGUUUCUGGAUUGUGGGAGAUUCUAGCAUACAGGAUAGUAUCUUUUGGCAUAUUGAAAACCCCUGAAUUUUUAACAUUUGUGUUGCACAGUUUCUUUAAAAGAGAAAGCUACUGUUGACUGGAAUAUUUUAAACAUAGUUUUGAUGACUAUUUCAUAAGAAUACAUUUAAAUGUGAAGAACUUGAAACAGUGCCAUCUUGUGACUAAAAAUAUAACCUACCAUCACUGUUCUACCACAACCCACAUCUGAGUAACUUCAUAAGUCCCUGCAGAAAGCAACCACUUUAUGUAGAUACUAGUUAACAACAAUAAUGGUCUGAUAGUAGAAAUCUCAAUAACAUUUAUUUAAGAACAUUGCAGUACCAUGAAAAACUGUCCUUGGAACACAUGCAGUUGCUCCUGUAUGUUUGCAAAUGUAAUUGAUAUACUGUAAAUCAUAUGGCAUGGCUGACAUGAAAAGUAACCAGAUAUUGAUUAACAUUUUUCCCUCCCACUUUUCAUCAGAAUGAAUGAUUCUAGAGAGUAUUUUCAAGACAGGAAUUUUAUUUUUGGUAUCAGAAAAUUGUUUGUUUAAAUAAAUGAUGGGAGAAAAUGCAUGAUUUUACAUUUCAUGGUAGAUUGUAUCAUCUGAGCCCCUUGGGAUGGUAUUUUAUAAUUACAGUAUCUGCCUUACAGGAAGUCAUUUCUCGUACAAUAUUUAUUUUACCAUAAGUUAUGCAUCUCAAGCUACCAUCAAUCACUUCCUAAACAUUUAAAGUAGAAUCCAAGAGUUAAAGUUUAGCUAUCUUAAUCUUGCUAUCUUGCUGGGAUUGAUUUUGACUAUAAUAACCCUUUAACAUUAAUCUGUAAUGCACGGAGUUGGAUUUGUCAUUUCAACUUCUCGUCAACUAUUCUGUAGGAUUUCUAUAACGUUUUUCUUUGGGCUCUCUACUCCUUUCAAUCUUAAGAAACUAUUGUUUCUUUUGCUUUAUACUCCUGCAUUAUUCAUUUAGAAUGUGGUUGGAACACUCAUGAAUGGAACACUGCAAUUGUCUCUUCCAAUGUUUAUAUACAACAUUUGCCAGCAUGAAGAGGGAGGCGGGAUAGAGUGAAGCUAUAGUCUGAGGUCUUUGCCAUUUGAUCUUCAAGGGAAAUAUCUAUGUGGAUUUAAUAAAAGAAAAUGCAUAGUGUGAAAGGAAACUCAUUGCAGUUUUUUUGAAGCUGUUAAAAAUUGCGAUUGUAGAUUUUUUUUGUGGGGAAGAACAGUCAGAUAUCAUAUCUUUUUUUCUUUUGAGAUGUAACAAAGUACUGAAUUAUCGAAGAACAUGGGCUGAGAGAAAGCAGCUUGGUGCCCACCUACAUGUAGGAGCUUAACCACCUGGAGAUGUUGCCUGAUCUGAUGAGUAUUCCCAGAUUUUAUCUUUCUGUUUCAAUUGGAGAAGUUGCUUUUGUAUAAAAGUAUAAAGAAUGGAGCAUUAGACAUUUAGGUUGUCAAGCUCAUAAUGAGUGCAAUCUACAUUGAUCAUGGAUGCUGCCCAGUCCAUACGCAGAGGACAAUAUGAUGGCAACGUAUUUAAUAUUUUUUGUGGACUUGUGCUUGAAGGAUUAUGGAUACGUGGAUUUUUAAAGAGAUUAAUAAAGGACUGUGGAACAUCCUUUUUACGAGAUUUUUAACUUGGAUAGCACAUUGAUCCAGGUAAUCAUCGGUCUUGAUUUUUUGGACUCACUUCAGAAAAAAAUCAUCUGGCAACUUUUGCAGCAGGGUUUCAUAACUUUCUGUCUGAAAAAUAUUUUGCAUACUCAGAGGUGGUUUUAGAUUUCAGUGGGUGAAAGGGCUCAGCCCAAGCCUCCUGCUUCUGAAGAACGUUAGUGCUAUAUCCUGAUUGUCCUCUUGGAGUGUGACUGGAAGAUUUCACAAUACUGUGUUUUCUGAUCAUGCUGUGUCUGCCUAGAUCCCAAAGUUAUUUGAUGAUGCUUGUGACACUGUCUACCAUAGUGCCAGACUUUCACCAACUAAGCGUUUCAUAUCUUAUCCUUUUUGCAUUCA